rnacentral:lncRNA from 1 species
CCAUGUUUUCCCUGAUAAUCUCUCAUCUUUUUUGUUUGCUUGUUUUUGUUUGUUUGACACAAGGUCUCACUGCCCAGGCUGGUUUCAGACUCAAAUGAUCCUCCUGCCUCAGCCUCCUGUAUAGCUGGUUCCAGGGCAUGCGACACCAUAUUCUGCUCUUACAAUUUCUCAUCUUUAAGAAAAUUUCUCAUCUUUACUUAUAUGAGGCAGUACAGAUGCAAAUCAUAACAUUUACAGAUUUCUGUAAACAGCAAGUUCGCGGGAAGCACCUUAGAGUCAGACUGUGGACAAGAAGGCGCGGCGCAGCACACGUAAGAACAAGUCCCAGAAUCCCACUCGGACUCCAGAUCCCAGAAUCCCGCACCGCAAAAUCUAACCCGGGUGCCAAAUAGGCUGACCGCGGACGCGACCAAAUUGGAAACCGGGUGAGAUGCUACUGCAUGUGCCCCCUACCAUUUUUCCUGAAGGGAAGGGGCUUCUAUAGAAAUGCAUUCGUGAA